GCGGACGGGUAGAGUAACACGUGAGGAACCUGCCCUUCAGUGGGGAACAACACCGGGAAACCGGUGCUAAUACCGCAUAACGUCUCGGGGAGACAUCUUUCUGGGACCAAAGGAGAAAUCCGCUGAAGGAUGGCCUCGCGUCCGAUUAGCUAGUUGGCGGGGUAACGGCCCACCAAGGCUUCGAUCGGUAGCCGAACUGAGAGGUUGAUCGGCCACAUUGGGACUGAGACACGGCCCAGACUCCUACGGGAGGCAGCAGUGGGGAAUAUUGGGCAAUGGGGGAAACCCUGACCCAGCAACGCCGCGUGAAGGAUGAAGGCCUUCGGGUUGUAAACUUCUUUGACCGGGGACGAAACAAAUGACGGUACCCGGAAAACAAGCCACGGCUAACUACGUGCCAGCAGCCGCGGUAAUACGUAGGUGGCAAGCGUUGUCCGGAAUUACUGGGUGUAAAGGGCGUGUAGGCGGAUCUGCAAGUCGGAUGUGAAAUUCCCGGGCUCAACCCGGGCGCUGCAACCGAAACUGCGGAUCUUGAGUGUCGGAGAGGAAAGCGGAAUUCCCAGUGUAGCGGUAAAAUGCGUAGAGAUUGAGAGGAACACCGGUGGCGAAGGCGGCUUUCUGGACGACAACUGACGCUGAGGCG
rnacentral:rRNA from 1 species